rnacentral:lncRNA from 1 species
GUCAAGUAUCAUGAGUUGGGCCCCAGCCAACCUUGCGUAACAAGCAGGUCCCACCACCAUUCGAGGAGUCCAGGCAUACAUAUACAAUACAAAGCUGCAGCGAUAUACUACAUCAAACAUAAACCAAACAAGACACUUCUUUCUAUACUGGGGAGCUCAUCACCUCAAUACCCGGCCGCUUGCGCUUGUCCUGCUGUACUUUUUUUUUUUGCUUCUCUUAGUCUAAAUAUUCUCUAUAGUCUAUACUUGGUUUCAUGCCAUCGAAGUCUUAGCAGCUAGGCAAGGGAAUGGGAAGUACCAGGAGCUAUUGGACAACUUCGGUCAUGGCAGGAGGUAGCUAGCUUGCAUGCCUUCGCCCUUCUAUGCAGAAUGGUCGAAUACUUAUUCCAGG